UUAAUCUUACUGGUCAUUAUUAUUUACGCCCUCCUGAUUUGUAGUCUGUUUUUAGAUCGCUCCUUCGAAAGUUAAAAGUCUUUCAGACGAUAAUUUAAAAUACCAAUCGCAUGAAAGUAGCCGCAUUUUUUGAAUUUUUAGCACAAAAUACGGACGUACUUCAUAUCGUUUAGUUGGAAAUGUACGUCACCAAAGAUUUGAAAUUUCACUAUUCAUGAGACCGUGUUAGAAGCAAAAUCAAAGUUCAAUUUUUGUUGCUUUUUGUAUAGCGCUUCAAAUAAUUAGGUUAUAAUGGGAAUUGUGAAGUUUCUCACUGUUCGAGCCGUAGAAGGAGUUGUCGCAGUUUUAUUAAUUACAUUUAUGCCCAAUCUUCCACCUGAUGCAAAAUAUUCUCUAAAUUACAAUUUAACACCUGUAAUGCCCUUUGAAGGUGCUUUAACGCUAAAUGACAAGUUGCAAAGCACCGAGGUAUGGCAUAAAGGUGAUUUUAAUGGGCCCGAAGCGUACGGUGUGUACAACGGGGAACUUUAUACAUCUAUCCACGGUGGGAAUGUGAUUAAAUUAAUUGGAGAGAGUUUCGUGCCUGUUGUAAAGUUCGGUAAACAGUGUAAAGGGUUUUACCAAGAGCACAUAUGCGGACGGCCUUUAGGAUUUCAGUUUGACAAACAUGGGGGACUUUAUGUCGCUGAUGCGUACUACGGAAUAUAUAAAGUCGACAUGAAGACAGGUAAGUGAUCAUUUUUUCAUUUCACAUUUGGUAACCAGAUUAUAGCAAAUAGUAAUUUAUGGUAAUGAACAUUAAAUAUUAAUGCUUGAUUAUCUCUCUUACGAAGUUAAAAGGUCACAGUCAUUAGGUUUUUGAUGUCUGCGUUCAGGUAGCAUAAUUCCUCUGCAGUUUGGUAACUAAUUAGGAAAAUCGCCGACGUUUAUCUUUAUUUUGUUAAAAAUACCCCAUUAUCUAUAUGAAGUUAUCAUUUUUGUUAAAUAUUAAGAUAAGUUUCGGGGAUUUGUUGACUUGUGUUUCAUAUUGUUUUUUUUUCAUUAUUUUAUCAGUGCACAUUGGUACCUCUAUCUCAUCAAGCUAAAUUUAAUCUGUAGAGGAAUUUAUUUAUUCUCGCCUACUCACUUUUUUGCACAGUAAAAAAGAGGCCGUUGAUGUAUAGGAAUCUUAAAAGUAAUUGCUUAAUCUUAAGAAUGUAAGCCUUCUUUGAUUAUUAGUGUUUACUAUUCCAAUAUUUUAAAUUGAUGCUUAAUCAUCGUUUGUAAAACCUGGAAUUAAUCAGGUAUGUUUAUAGUGGUGUGUUAUUCAUAAUAUUUACAUUACCUUGUUACAGUUCUAUCCGAGGUUCUAUCAAAGCUUACUGUAAACAUUACAUUUUCUAACCAUCUUGCAGCAAUGAAUAAAAAGUAAAGAAUUUGAAUAAAAAAUUAAUUAAAAGGAUCUACAACCCUUGACUGCACCUUUUCUUCCAGUUCGUUAACCGCAUAAGUACACGGAGAAAAAUAAGUUGGUUCUCUUAGCAGUUUCUAUUUUGCUAUCAUUAUUUUUGCUCUGAUGAAAAAAUCUUUUAGUAGAAUGUCUUUUAUGUUUGUCUCAGAAGCGAAAACGAAUUUGUUGGAAGUGACAAAAAUUUUAGUACACAAAGAUUAGCUGAGACAACAAGGUAUCCUAGUAGUAAUUACAAAUGAAAAUUUCGCUGUCUCAGCUGUUCCUCGCGUAGCAAUCUGUUUUGCACCCAGAUGCAAAUGGUUUGCUGAGCCGACAAAGUAUGUUAGCUAUAGAGUUACAUACGUAGGUAUGAGUCAACGGUCAGCAGAGAAAUAAAACCAAUUUCCGCAGCCCACUGCCUAAGUAGAAGUACAAGCGAAGCAGUAAGUUUAAGUUUCGGUUUCAUUUAUCAUUUUAAUUUUACGCGUAAGUGUUCUGUACCUUGAGCAAAUUAGCGGAAAUGUCGGAAUCAGAAUUGCAGUGUGUGAGUGUGGAAAGUGUUUCUGGUGAUACAUCGACGGUCUACUAAAAUGUUGGGGGCUAGAAAUGUUGAGUAGCGUCUUCAAAGGUAAGUCGAAAAAAUGUGUCUUUACUUUCUGUAAAUGUAUAAAGUAUAAAAUACCGCCGGCUAAGCGUCGAAAUCUAACGAUUGCCUCAAAAUGGCGACAAAAAAGACCCAGAUGUGAUAAUCGAACACGAGCUGAAGGUUGAUUUUACUAAGAGGUGUGUAUAACGAAGACAUAGGUAAAUCUGUUUAUACUACAUGCGUAUUUUGCAGUAUACCGACAGCUCGGCUUGACAGUUUGGCGGUCAUCGUCCAGCGUAUGUUCCCAACAGAAACCAAAGAUUGUUAUUUUACCAUAGUAAACGAACAGGGCAAGAAAUCAGAGAGAGGUAAAUUAUUUACUAAAUAUUAUAAUUUGAGAAGACGAUUUACUAGUAUUGGAUUGAUUAAUAAAAAAAACUAAAAGUACAGCUACAGUUCAUGGUUCAAAUAAAGGUGAGAAUGUUACUUCCACAAACAUUACAUUACUUUUAAAAACAAUGAGUAUAAUGAAGAUGUGUAAAUUUGUAGAGAUUGGUGAAGAGAAGAGUGAAAUUGUCAAGUGGCUGGAGAACAAUGUAUCUCCAUGGACGUCUGUCAUUAACCAUUGGACUGAGACCUUUCAUACACGAAGGAAUUUAUUUUUGGAAUUACCAGAUCUCUGUGGCUACAAAGACAAUUUUUGCCAGACCGCACACAAUUUAGCUGCUAGUGCAAGUUUCGUCUAUUAUAGGAUAAUAACGCUCUUAGCAGCUGCAGCUAAAAUAAUUUGCUUAGAGAGCAAAGAGAUUCAGUGACCGGUACUUCAAUAUGUUAGUAGUGGCUACAAAUGGGACUGGUUCUAUUGCAAAUUUCAUCGAUUAUUGGAUACUAAAUUUACUGGCAGCCGCAGCUAAAGUUAUUUGUUACGAAAUCAAAAUAGUUUAGUAACAGGUACUUUCAGAUUUUAGUAGGAAAAGCAAAACGUAUUUAGUUACAUCAACUAAAAAUAGGUAGCAUUUUUUCUUUGCUCUUGCUGCAAAACUUUUAGCAGUCCAUAUAGGU